rnacentral:rRNA from 1 species
AUGCAAGUCGACUGGAAUUCUUCUUCGGAAGAUAGUACGGUGGCGGACGGGUGAGUAACGCGUAAAGAAUUUGCCCUUCAGACUGGGACAACUAAUCGAAAGGUUAGCUAAUACCGGAUAUUAUGAGACCUUGGCAUCAAGGACUUAUGAAAGCUAUAUGCGCUGGAGGAGAACUUUGCGUUCCAUUAGCUAGUUGGUAGGGUAAUGGCCUACCAAGGCGACGAUGGAUAGCCGGCCUGAGAGGGUGAACGGCCACAAGGGGACUGAGACACGGCCCUUACUCCUACGGGAGGCAGCAGUGGGGAAUAUUGGACAAUGGACCAAAAGUCUGAUCCAGCAAUUCUGUGUGCACGAUGAAGGUCUUCGGAUUGUAAAGUGCUUUCAGGUGGGAAGAAGAAAGUGACGGUACCACCAGAAGAAGCGACGGCUAAAUACGUGCCAGCAGCCGCGGUAAUACGUAUGUCGCA